GCCUAAGUGGUGUAGAGGCAUCAUGUGAGGUCCCCGAUUGUGUGACCCAGGUUCAAGUCCUGGCUCAUGCC